UGCUCGGUUUAUUUCAAAAUGUUGUGAUGAAAUAAGCUCUAAAAUUGGAGGUGAUUGGAUUCGAUUGGGAAAACACCUAGACCUAAGUAAUACAGAUCUUGAUAACAUUAAUGUUAACUGUAGAAACUGUUACGAGAAAGCUGAUAAUGUUUUAAAAAUAUCAAGGCAAAUAAAUGGAGAUCUUUCAUGGGAGCAUUUAAAAAAAGUGUUAGAAGCUAUUGAGCGCUGCGAUAUCGUAGUUGAAAUUGAGAGGAAAUUUGAAGAUUACUUGUUAAGUCUAGAGAACAUAAGCGCAACCGAACAUCGAAUUCCACACGGUUGUGUAUUUAAGUUUGACUUGCAAGAAGAUGUAUGUAAAGUUGAAUUUCAAUUAUAUAGUGAUAGUAAUAAUUGGAAAGUUAUUAAUAAGAAGGAAAAAAAUUAUGUA
rnacentral:lncRNA from 1 species